rnacentral:sRNA from 1 species
UGAACAAAGGUUUUUAACAAACUUGGUGU